AGCAGCCGCGGUAAUUCCAGCUCCAAUAGCGUAUAUUAAAGUUGUUGCAGUUAAAAAGCUCGUAGUUGAAUUUCGGGGUUAGUAGGUUGGUCAUGCCUCUGGUAUGUACUGGUCUCACUGAUUCCUCCUUCCUGAUGAAUCUUAAUGCCAUUAAUUUGGUGUUUUGGGGAAUUUGGACUGUUACUUUGAAAAAAUUAGAGUGUUUAAAGCAAGCUAACGCUUGAAUACAUUAGCAUGGAAUAAUGAAAUAGGACGUUCGAUCCUAUUUUGUUGGUUUCUAGGAUUGACGUAAUGAUUAAUAGGGAUAGUUGGGGGCAUUAGUAUUCAAUUGUCAGAGGUGAAAUUCUUGGAUUUAUUGAAGACUAACUACUGCGAAAGCAUUUGCCAAGGAUGUUUUCAUUAAUCAAGAACGAAAGUUAGGGGAUCGAAGACGAUCAGAUACCGUCGUAGUCUUAACCAUAAACUAUGCCGACUAGGGAUCGGAUGAUGUUAAUUUUUUAAUGACUCA
rnacentral:rRNA from 2 species